rnacentral:rRNA from 1 species
GAACACGUAGCUAACCUGCCUUCAAGCGCGGGAUAACGUUCCGAAAGGAAGGCUAACACCGCAUAAGCUCACGUCAAGUAGAGGGAUGUGAGAAAAGGAUUUAUCCACUUGAGGAGGGGGCUGCGACCUAUCAGGUAGUUGGUGGGGUAAGAUCCUACCAAGCCGACGACGGGUCGGGGGUCUGAGAGGAUGGCCCCCCACACUGGGACUGAGACACGGCCCAGACUCCUACGGGAGGCAGCAGUGAGGGAUAUUGCACAAUGGGGGAAACCCUGAUGCAGCGACGCCGCGUGGGCGAAGAAGGUCUUCGGAUCGUAAAGCCCUUUUCUGUGUGACGAGGAAGGACGGUAGACAGGAAUAAGUCUCGGCUAACUACGUGCCAGCAGCCGCGGUAAAACGUAGGAGGCAAGCGUUAUCCGGAGUUACUGGGCGUAAAGCGCGUGCAGGUGGUUGAGUAAGUGGGGCGUGAAAUCUCCGGGCUAAACUCGGAGGGGACGAACUAUACUGCUGGACUAGAGUGGAGUAGAGGGACGCAGAAUUCGGGGUGUAGCGGUGAAAUGUGCAGAGAUCCCGAGGAAUAUCAGAGGUGAAAACGGCGUCCUGGGCUCUAACUGACACUGAGACGCGAAAGCGUGGGGAGCGAACGGGAUUAGAGACCCCGGUAGUCCACGCUGUAAACGAUGCCGGCUAAAUGUCUGGGUCUCGAAAGAGUAGCGGGCGUUGCAGCAAACGCGAUAAGCCGGCCGCCUGGGGAGUACGGUCGCAAGGCUA